CUGUAAGUGCAAAUCUCUUGCAGUCCAAUUUUAAAAUCUACAUCAGUCUAACCAAAGUCAGUCCUUAAUCUACAAUGAUGGUCUGAGGUUUUUUGUCAGAAUAACAUGAGAAGUGACCUGCCCAGCAAAGCAGACUUAAAUUGCAGUGUUAUAUAGUUGCUGUGAAAACGGAUUUCCUACCUCUUAAAUAACAAUAUAAAUGCUUGGUCAGUGUCUGAGCUAUAUUGAUUGGGUAAAAUGCAUUUUUGUUUGAGCAAAUUAAAAUUUAUAUGGCCC